rnacentral:rRNA from 1 species
GACGUAGGGCGCGAGCGUUGUCCGGAUUUAUUGGGCGUAAAGAGCUCGUAGGCGGCUUGUCGCGUCGGCUGUGAAAACCCGCGGCUCAACUGUGGGCGGGCAGCUGAUACGGGCAGGCUGGAGUUCGGUAGGGGAGACUGGAAUUCCUGGUGUAGCGAUGAAAUGCGCAGAUAUCAGGAGGAACACCGGUGGCGAAGGCAGCUCGCUGGGACGUUACUGACGCUGAGACGCGAAAGCGUGGGGAGCAAACAGG